rnacentral:rRNA from 1 species
GACGAACGCUGGCGGCGUGCUUAACACAUGCAAGUCGAGCGGUAAGGCCCUUCGGGUACGACGAGCGGCGAACGGGUGAGUAACACGUGGGUGACCUGCCUCUAGCUCUGGGAUAAGCCUGGGAAACUGGGUCUAAUACCGGAUAUGACUCCACGGCGCAUGUUGUGGGGUGGAAAGCCUUGUGUGGCUAGAGAUGGGCCCGCGGCCUAUCAGCUUGUUGGUGGGGUGAUGGCCACCAAGGCGACGACGGUAGCCGGCCUGAGAGGGCGACCGGCCACACUGGGACUGAGACACGGCCCAGACUCCUACGGGAGGCAGCAGUGGGGAAUCUUGCGCAAUGGGCGAAAGCCUGACGCAGCGACGCCGCGUGAGGGAUGACGGCCU